GAAGAGUUUGAUCAUGGCUCAGAUUGAACGCUGGCGGCAGGCCUAACACAUGCAAGUCGAACGGAAACAUGUCUAGCUUGCUAGAUGAUGUCGAGUGGCGGACGGGUGAGUAAUGCCUGGGAAUUUGCCUUUGUGUGGGGGAUAACCAUUGGAAACGAUGGCUAAUACCGCAUAACGACUACGGUCCAAAGGGGGGACUUGUUCCUCCCGCGCAAAGAGAAGCCCAGGUGAGAUUAGCUAGUUGGUGAGGUAAAGGCUCACCAAGGCGACGAUCUCUAGCUGUUCUGAGAGGAAGAUCAGCCACACUGGAACUGAGACACGGUCCAGACUCCUACGGGAGGCAGCAGUGGGGAAUAUUGGACAAUGGG
rnacentral:rRNA from 1 species